rfam:Paracoccus halophilus strain JCM 14014 Contig_44, whole genome shotgun sequence.
AGCGUAUUUUGCGAUGGCGGAGUUCGACCGCCGGUCGAAGUGAUGAUCGAUUUCAUCGAUAUACAUCGCGGUGCGCAUGGGGUCGAGCCGAUCUGCGAGGUUCUGCCGAUCGCCCCA